UUCGGUGCUUGACGUGUGGUGGUGGUCCGGCCAGAGAAAUCCUUCCACGCAGAUCAGAACACAAGAGAGACUGACGUUUGGCAACAGAAGAAAGCUGUGGCUCCGCGUUCAUUACUGAAAGAUACCUGAAGUACCCGGGACACUGUUUCUCUUUCACCAGCAUCUGACAAUGGCUCAGAAUGGCCAUUCCACACCGAAGCCCAACAUGAGACUCACAUGGAGAAAACUGAGACCUGGAGUGUUUCCUGGAUGCUGUUGGGAUGUUCUCACCCUGUUCGUGUGGGUUUCCUCCAGGUGCUCCCGUUUCCUCACACAGCAGGUUAAUUGGCGUCUGGGCCCGGUGAGAGUGAGUGUGUGUUUGUGUCUGUGUCCUGCCUGCUCCCCUUUGCUUGCUGGGAUAGUCUCCAGCUCCCCUGUGACCCUGAAUUGGGUAAAGUGGUUAGAAAAUGGAGGGAAAGAUAUUUUUUAUUGAUCUUCACUCAACGCACCUGUGAUGGUCAGCACACCUGAGAGUGAUCCCCUCGUUCAGACUUGUUCUCCAGGGUAGCUGCGACAUCCGGCUUUGAGCACAAACUCUUCCUGCACCUAAAAAGUCCUUAUUUGUUUCCUGGUCUAUUGGAGUGUUUUCUACAACUUUCCAGGGUCCAUUAUUUCUUAUUAUCUCAUACAGGUGUGUGUCUGCUGUCUGCAUCUGAGA